AUUGAACGCUGGCGGCAGGCCUAGCACAUGCAAGUCGAGCGGAUGAAGGGAGCUUGCUCCUGGAUUCAGCGGCGGACGGGUGAGUAAUGCCUAGGAAUCUGCCUGGUAGUGGGGGAUAACGUCCGGAAACGGGCGCUAAUACCGCAUACGUCCUGAGGGAGAAAGUGGGGGAUCUUCGGACCUCACGCUAUCAGAUGAGCCUAGGUCGGAUUAGCUAGUUGGUGGGGUAAAGGCCUACCAAGGCGACGAUCCGUAACUGGUCUGAGAGGAUGAUCAGUCACACUGGAACUGAGACACGGUCCAGACUCCUACGGGAGGCAGCAGUGGGGAAUAUUGGACAAUGGGCGAAAGCCUGAUCCAGCCAUACCGCGUGUGUGAAGAAGGUCUUCGGAUUGUAAAGCACUUUAAGUUGGGAGGAAGGGCAGUAAGUUAAUACCUUGCUGUUUUGACGUUACCAACAGAAUAAGCACCGGCUAACUUCGUG
rnacentral:rRNA from 1 species